CAUAACGUGAGUCAGGUAAUGAGGAAGGAGAGGUAUCGCACAUGUUGAGAGUGUGUUCUGCCAGCGAGGUCUGCUGUCUCAAUGAAAAAGUGCGUCAUCAUUUUGGAGACUACAAUAUUCGUUGUAAUAUAAGGCCCAAAGUGUAGAGUGACGACGAUUUUUUUAUUAUUAUAUGACGUGCUUUAUUUUCUGUUCUUAUUUGAAGUGCAUCUUUGUUUUGUUGUUUUCCGUGAUCCUGUGAGUCAUCACUCAGUAAGCCGUGUGUGAUGAUGGCUUAGCGGCUAUAGAGACAAUUGACUUUAUGAACAAAACAGCUGUGUUUAUGAAGCUAUUAGACGUUUGUGGUGGACUUCGGAAUUGCGUGAGAAACCGGACAGAUCGUGUGUGUCAUCGUUGGACGUAGAUCGACUGGAUUCAUCUCAUGUUCAAGACUGAUCGCGAGGGGAUGCUGAGUGUUCAUGUUGUGAGGAACCUAAUAUCGUUUCGCUGUCAUCGGAUGAACAUUUCAAAAUUAGAGAUGGAGGAAUUCAUAAAAACAACGGUCUACAAAGAGGAGCGCUUUAAAAGAAACAAAAAAGAGACUGAUAUAACUGUGAUUUUAUUCAGCAAAGACUCACUACCAUAAACACCACCAAAGAUGCCAACUUCAGGACUGUGAAUUCUGCAAGUCUGCAAAAUCAAAAAAAUUUAUAUUUCUUGCUUUCAUGCAAACGGUCUGGAGCAUGCAGGCAACAAAGUCGACGUGCCAAAGGAUGCAAGGCCUAUGUUUCCUUUAAAAAGAGGACAGACUGGCUCAACAAACUGGUUAUAGUCGAAAGGCUUUACACCAUUCAUUCAGGACAUGACCCAUCAAGUUCUUCUGAGGGCCACUUAGAAAACAUUAGUCAAGAGCUAGUCAAGCAUAUUCAGGAUUUAAUAUCUCUUGGUGUUAAACCAGAUACAAUUCUCCUAAAAUCACGUGAGUGGUCAAAAGAACAAGGACAUACUGAUCUCAACAACCGAGCUUAUUUUGUUACCCCAAAAGACAUUGAAAAUAUUCGGACAUGUAUGAUUCGAAAAAAUCAGCAACACAAAGAUGAUGCCACUAGUACCUCACGCCUUCUGGAGGGCCUUUUAAAGACUUUUUUAUUUUUUAUCAGCCUAAUAGUCCUCAAACUGAAAAACACCAUCCAUGAAAGACAACCUUCAAGAAUACGGAAGAUAUAUUGUUUUUAUGGAUGCGACACAUGGUGUCAACCAGUAUGGUUUUCCUUUAUUUACAUUACUUGUCAGGGACAGUCAUGGUCAUGGAAUUCCUGUUGCCUAUAUCAUCUAGGGGAAUGAAAAGCAGGACACACUUCAGUUGGCACUGAAAGAGCUGAAACCAACAUUUUCUGUAUCUCCGAGCUGCUUUAUGGUUGAUAAAGACCAGGCUGAAAUCAAUUCCAUCUGUAAGGUAUUCAGCGAGUCAGACGUUCUCCUUUGUUGGUACCAUGUAACACAAGCAGUAACUCGUUGGCUGUCAAGAUCUGAAUCUGGUGUGAGUGGACCUGAAAAGGCAGAUUCAAGAGUGCACAUCAUGCAGUUUAUGUCAGAGCUGAAAUCCUGUUCAACGAUUUUGGGAGAGAGUGCUACCAGCAAAGACGGGGCAGGUGCAACUGCCACUUCAGAUCCUGAAGGUGAUGGAGAUGUACUGUAGACAUCUCUACAAUGGACCCUGAGCCAGAAGUGGUCCAUCGUGGAUCACAGUGCAACAUAAGAUGUUUACAUCGUUCAUUAGCUGUUCAGGUAAAGCCUCAGAUGGUGGAUGUGGGGACUCAAACCGAAAGGUUUGAGCAUCGCAGAUCAACUCCACUGGCCAGUCCUGAACAAAGUGAUGAUGAAUGGUCAUUUUCUGAUAUCAUCAACCAUUCUGGUGAUAUGUCAUGGAGUCCAGGGGAGGAGAUGUUGAGCGGGUCCUAUGAGGAGGAACCAGAAGAGCUGGAAUCUCUCAGUGACCCAAAUGCUGUUGACAAGUUCAUUGUUUGCCAGAGGCAGUUGCUGUCCUUGUUCACGGUUUGCCCUACAUGCUGUGGGGAAACCCAGGGACACAUAAUGCACCCGGAAGGAACUUUCAUAAAAGUCAAGCAGGCCUGCGGAACUUGAGGUUAUGAGCGUUACUGGCAAAACCAAGAGAAGGUGCAUCGAAACAUCCACUUCUCAGGUUGCAUGGCUACUCAGACAAUCAGGAUGCUGAAGCUGUUUGGACUGCAGUGCAUAAGUCCCGGCAAUUGCUGACACAACACAUGAAGCUGUUCAGGUAAAACCUCAGAUGGUGGAUGUGGGGACUCAAACCGAAAGGUUUGAGCAUCGCAGAUCAACUCCACUGGCCAGUCCUGAACAAAGUGAUGAUGAAUGGUCAUUUUCUGAUAUCAUCAACCAUUCUGGUGAUAUGUCAUGGAGUCCAGGGGAGGAGAUGUUGAGCGGGUCCUCUGAGGAGGAACCAGAAGAGCUGGAAUCUCUCAGUGACCCAAAUGCUGUUGACAAGUUCAUUGUUUGCCAGAGGCAGUUGCUGUCCUUGUUCACGGUUUGCCCUACAUGCUGUGGGGAAACCCAGGGACACAUAAUGCACCCGGAAGGAACUUUCAUAAAAGUCAAGCAGGCCUGCGGAACUUGAGGUUAUGAGCGUUACUGGCAAAACCAAGAGAAGGUGCAUCGAAACAUCCACUUCUCAGGUUGCAUGGCUACUCAGACAAUCAGGAUGCUGAAGCUGUUUGGACUGCAGUGCAUAAGUCCCGGCAAUUUUUCCGCCAUCAGCGCUAUUACACUAUCCCUACCAUUGUGCGGGCCUGGAGGAAUGAGCAGAGGGGGAUCAUCAGGGAGUUGAAGGAGACUGGGGUGGAUUGAUCCUGUCUGGUGACUGCAGAUCAGAUUCUCCUGGACACUGUGCCAAAUAUGGUAGCUACUCCUUGAUCGAGGAUCGAAUUAACAAGGUUUUGGAUGUUCAACUUGUCCAAAGCUCAGAAGUCCCAAGCAGCUCUUGGUGUGAGCUAGAGGGUCUAAAGCGGAGUAUGCAGUUCCUGAUGGACCAAGACAUGCAAGUGUCUGCUCUGAUAUAAGGCAGAAAUCGGCAGGUAAUGAUGCUAGGAGAGAUCUAAAGCUGAACAGCAUUGACAGGCACAGUAUCACUCAAAAUAAAUUCUAAAUUCUAUAAAAUCAGUUUGUUUUAGGCAACACAGUCUCACCCCUAUUCGUCACAUACUGCCGUUUGGUCAUUUCCCCCUCAUGUCCAUAAGCCGACGUUGAGGGUACCCCCUAUUCGUCGCUUGACAACGUAGAGGGUCGUCUGAUAGAUUUGAGUGCAAAUCCCUCAUCUUUGAAUUUUGACGAAAUGGGGUUAUCCAUCCAGCGGUUUGCCUGCGCUGGAAAGUAUGGUUUCAGGUGAUUGAUUUUAUGCUGCAAAUGUGUAUUUUGUAGUAGCGUGCGGCGCAAAUACUGUUAAAAUCAUUCAUUGGUGUGGUGACUAUACAUUUUCGUGGGGCAGAAACCGGUAUCACGACUUUUUCUGUCUCUUUUUUUAUAUAAUUUUGGGCUAACGUUACAUUAAAAUGACAUAUUUACAGGACUGUAUAUUUGCUGUAUGCUUAAUACAUGCCUUAAUUUAGGUGGGAUAUUUUAUAAUUUUCGAUCACAUACUGCUGUUUGGUCAUUUCCCCCUCACGUCCAUAAGCCGACGUUGAGGGUACCCCCUAUUCGUCGCUUGACAACGUAGAGGGUCGUCUGAUAGAUUUGAGUGCAAAUCCCUCAUCUUUGAAUUUUGACGAAAUGGGGUUAUCCAUCCAGCGGUUUGCCUGCGCUGGAAAGUAUGGUUUCAGGGGAUUAAUUUUAAUGCUGCAAAUUGUGUAUUUUGCAGUAGCGUGCAGCGCAUAUACUGUUACAGUCAUUCAUUGGUGCGGUGACUAUACAUUUUUGUGGGGCAGAAACCCUUGUCUAAAUCGGUAUC
ensembl:lncRNA